rnacentral:rRNA from 1 species
UGCGUAGGCGGCUUUCUAAGUUGGAUGUGAAAACUAUGGGCUCAACCCAUAGCCUGCAUCCAAAACUGGAGAGCUUGGGUUCUGGAGGGGAAAGCGGAAUUCCUGGUGUAGCGGUGAAAUGCGUAGAUAUCAGGAGGAACACCGGUGGCGAAGGCGGCUUUCUGGACAGAUACCGACGCUGAGGCACGAAAGCUGGGAGCAAACA